rnacentral:rRNA from 1 species
GAUGAACGCUGGCGGCGUGCCUAAUACAUGCCAGUCGAGCGAACGGACGAGAAGCUUGCUUCUCUGAUGUUAGCGGCGGACGGGUGAGUAACACGUGGAUAACCUACCUAUAAGACUGGGAUAACUUCGGGAAACCGGAGCUAAUACCGGAUAAUAUUUUGAACCGCAUGGUUCAAAAGUGAAAGACGGUCUUGCUGUCACUUAUAGAUGGAUCCGCGCUGCAUUAGCUAGUUGGUAAGGUAACGGCUUACCAAGGCAACGAUGCAUAGCCGACCUGAGAGGGGAUCGGCCACACUGGAACUGAGACACGGUCCAGACUCCUACGGGAGGCAGCAGUAGGGAAUCUUCCGCAAUGGGCGAAAGCCUGACGGAGCAACGCCGCGUGAGUGAUGAAGGUCUUCGGAUCGUAAAACUCUGUUAUUAGGGAAGAACAUAUGUGUAAGUAACUGUGCACAUCUUGACGGUACCUAAUCAGAAAGCCACGGCUAACUACGUG